GGCUCCGUGCUUAAGAGGAAAAAGUCGAACGCGAAAGGGGCUUCCGCCCUGAGUAGAGUGUUAACCGGGUGAGUAACGCAUGGGUGACCUACCCUCGAGUGGGGGAUAACGUUCCGAAAGGGACGCUAAUACCGCAUGACAUCCCGCCCUUGAACGGGUGGAGAUCGAAGCCGGGGAUCGCAAGACCUGGCGCUUGAGGAGGGGCCCGCGUCCGAUUAGCUUGUUGGUGAGGUAACGGCUCACCAAGGCGACGAUGCGUAGCCGGCCUGAGAGGGUGACCGGCCACACUGGGACUGAGACACGGCCCAGACUCCUACGGGAGGCAGCAGUGGG
rnacentral:sRNA from 1 species